ACGGGUGAGUAACACGUGGGCAACCUGCCUGUAAGACUGGGAUAACUUCGGGAAACCGAAGCUAAUACCGGAUAGGAUCUUCUCCUUCAUGGGAGAUGAUUGAAAGAUGGUUUCGGCUAUCACUUACAGAUGGGCCCGCGGUGCAUUAGCUAGUUGGUGAGGUAACGGCCCACCAAGGCAACGAUGCAUAGCCGACCUGAGAGGGUGAUCGGCCACACUGGGACUGAGACACGGCCCAGACUCCUACGGGAGGCAGCAGUAGGGAAUCUUCCGCAAUGGACGAAAGUCUGACGGAGCAACGCCGCGUGAGUGAUGAAGGCUUUCGGGUCGUAAAACUCUGUUGUUAGGGAAGAACAAGUACAAGAGUAACUGCUUGUACCUUGACGGUACCUAACCAGAAAGCCACGGCUAACUACGUGCCAGCAGCCGCGGUAAUACGUAGGUGGCAAGCGUUAUCCGGAAUUAUUGGGCGUAAAGCGCGCGCAGGCGGUUUCUUAAGUCUGAUGUGAAAGCCCACGGCUCAACCGUGGAGGGUCAUUGGAAACUGGGGAACUUGAGUGCAGAAGAGAAAAGCGGAAUUC
rnacentral:rRNA from 1 species